UUUUUUUGAAAAUGUUUACACUUCACUGGUCAAACUGGUAUAAAGUAGACAAAAAUUAAGAUAUUUGUCUUUUUCACUUCUUUUUUUAACUGAAUUAUUUGCAUUAAGUGACACCAUGUCUAUAGAGGAAAAAUUUCUUGAAUCUUUGAGGUCUAAAUUCGAAUCAGGGAAAACAAAGAGCAUAUACCCUAGAGUAAAGUACCAUGAUCUUUUAGCAAAGAUUAAACUUUUGGAAUCAUCAGAAAAGAAAGCGACACAAGAUUACUACGAUUUAAGAAGGUAUAACAUUUUUAACAUUGGUGGUUUGAGAGGUUUAUAACUAAAGUCAGCGAGAAUGACGAGGGAAAUUUCAAAAUUUAAGUCUUCCUAGAGGAACUCUAUGGUAUUUUGGAAAAGGCACAUAAAAAAACAGGUCAUGGCGGCAGAGAUCGCAUGAUAAAACAACUUAAUAAUGGAUAUGCUAACAUUACACGUGAUGCAAUUGAAUUAUUUCUGUCACUUUGUGAAAAUUGCAAUAUGAAAAAAAAACAUAUAGGGAAAGGAGUAGUAGUGAAACCCAUUUUAUCUAAAGACUUUAACAGUAGAGGACAAGUUGAUUUGAUGGAUUUUCAAUCAAACCCAGAUGGAAACUAUAAAUUUAUUAUGGUGUUUCAAGACAACCUUACAAAAUUAUCAAUGAUUUUAUUUCCAGUAGAUGACAUUUUAAACUUCAGUUUCAGUAAUGCUAUUAUGUAAAAAAUGUAUAUUUUUUUAUUUAAUUUACUCGCAUUUAUAUUUUAGGCAUUAGGCUUAAUGCCUGGACACAUUUUUCAGGAUUUAAGACUAAUGCCUAACACCAUUUAGGUAUUAGACUUAAUGCCUAGGCGUUAGCUUAUUGCCAAGGAUUUAAACUUAAUGCCUAGUUUCACUUAUUGCCGCUAACAUAUAUAUGCCUUUUUGUGCUCCUUAGUUACACAUUUGUAUGUUUUGCAGUGAUUCAGAUUAUAACACAAUGUUGACUGUUGUACCCCUAUUUUGAAGAUGUUGAAGAAUUAUACGGGUUAAACAUAUUUUUGCCUUCGGACUUUUGUUUGUGAGUCAAUCGCACCGGUUUACACAUCAAUAACCUUAAUAAAAUGUGUUUAAUUCUAUAAUAAACCAUUUGAAUAAAAAAAAGAAAUCUGCAUAUUUUCAAACCAGUUGGCCUUUUUCGUUUCCUUUCGUGAUAGCCUACAGUCUUUCUUUUAUCCACUUUUUGAAACACGUUACUAUGAUAACGGCUGAACUUAACGUUUUAUCAUUUCAUUUUUAAAGUCUACAAAAACAGCUUGAAAAUAAAUAUACAUAUUCCUUAUUUUGAUAGCGUAUGUGUUUUGUUGAUUUUGAUCUGUAGGAGGUGUCUUACAAACGUAAAAAGGUUAACGUUUGUUUUUACCAUUGCAAAUUAAAAUGAUUUUAUUUGUUAUGGAAGAAGUAAAUGUGUUGGGCAGGUGUGUGUUAUUUUGAAAAUUGUACGAUAGAUAUUGGCCUGUUCCAGAUAUAUAGAUGUGUUUCUACUGUAAAUAUUUUGAGACUUCUUAUAUUCUUUGUAAUUGUUUAAUCUGUUAUGACGCGAAUACAUUUUACCAUGUUUAGUUUUAGAAGCAAUAUUCAGUAUAUUUAGAUAAAAAUCACGUAUUUAUGUCAAAGUUAUGAGAUCAUAUUGAGUUUGGAAUUUGUUUCUGCAAUGUUUUUACAACAAUUAAAAACUGAUAGAAAAUAACUUAUUACCAGUAUGUCCGUAAUCAAUAAAUAUCAAUACACAUAUCAAGUGUCUUGGCAUAAUUGACAUUUUCUUCUAAAUGAAUAAAAAAAAUGCUGAUGGUUCUUUGAUUUAUUUUUAGUUUUGUUAAUUCGGUGAAAAAACUUUAUAUGGAAAAUUCUUGAUAGUAAUAGUAGUUUUACCCAAGGAAUAGUAGAACAUUUUAAACGAUUUUUUACUGAAUCUAGUACAAAUUAACAAAAAUUACAUAUUAUAAUUCAAAACUAUGGAAUAUAAUAGUUAAACGAUUGUUAUUCGAGAUGCGUUGCUGGAGUAAUAUAAAUAGUUGGCAAUACGUUUUUCUGUCUAUCUGCCUGUCUGUCCGACCUUGUUAACGUUCUAUCUUAUGAAAAACUCAUAUCAAACUAGGCUAAUAUCAUCAUUGUCGUGGAAAAAGUCGAAGAUCAGUGCCGAUCAACAAUGUAAAUGACCUUUGAAUUUUCUAAUAUAUGAGUAAUUACAUUGUUAACGGUCUCGUGUGCACACUUCGUCUCAGAUUGUCAAUUUAAAUUCAUAGGUAGGUUAAUAUCAGCAAAAUCUCGGAAAAGUUCAAUAAUCUAAAAUUUUAUAAAGAGUUAUGUCCCUUGGAAGAUUUCAUUAGAAGCACUCUCGCAUGUACACUAUUUGCAAGAUUUUUAUCACAUUAUUAUCAUAGGUUUAUAUCGGCAAUGACUCGAACAAUUUCGAAAAUCAGUAUCACUCAACUAUUUUUUAAAGAGUAAUUAAUGCCCCUCGAUUCACGUGUCACUGAUUAGUUUUUUUGUAGACCCAACGCGCGUCUGGCGCAAAUACAAAAUUUAGAUCCUGGUACCUAUGAUGAGUUUAUUAAAUACCUUUCAAAUAUACCCUUUUCACAGGUGCAAUCGAAACUGUAAACCCUACAAUUUGUGGAUUUUAACAAAUAUUUUAGUGAUUUAUUGUUAAAUUUAAACUUGCACUGAACAUGUAAAAAUUUGUUCAACAGAAUUUCUAACAUUUAUUUAAAGAAAGUGAAUUUCUCUCACAAUAUUGAAUAAAAGUAAUUGUUCACGUCCUACCUUACAAAUAAACUAAUUUGUAAAGUAAUAAUAAAGCCCGGGUUAGUAAGGAGGAGGGUUGUGUAACGUCCAACCCUUUGUUAUGUAAACAUUUCUACUACGUUUACCCCUUGAGCAUUUUAAAAAAGUUGGACUUUAUACACGAAAAGGACUGAGAUCAUAGUAACUAUAAAAUGUUAAAUUAGUUGUCCCCAAAUAGCACUAAAUGACAAAGUUUUGAAUAUACUGCUUUAAUAAAAUUCUUGAAGAUGUACUGUUUUAUUGUUUCCUGAAUCUUACUUU
rnacentral:lncRNA from 1 species